rnacentral:rRNA from 1 species
GACGAACGCUGGCGGCGUGCUUAACACAUGCAAGUCGAACGGAAAGGCCCUGCUUGCAGGGUACUCGAGUGGCGAACGGGUGAGUAACACGUUGGUGAUCUGCCCUGCACUUCGGGAUAAGCCUGGGAAACUGGGUCUAAUACCGGAUAGGAGCCAUUUUUAGUGUGAUGGUUGGAAAGUUUUUUCGGUGUAGGAUGAGCUCGCGGCCUAUCGGCUUGUUGGUGGGGUUAUGGCCUACCAAGGCGGCGACGGGUAGCCGGCCUGAGAGGGUGGACGGCCACACUGGGACUGAGAUACGGCCCAGACUCCGACGGGAGGCAGCAGGGGGGAAGAUUGCACAAUGGGCGCAGGCCUGAUGCAGCGACGCCGCGUGGGGGAUGACGGCCUUCGGGUUGUAAACUCCUUUCGCUAGGGACGAAGCAUUUUGUGACGGUACCUAAACAAGAAGCACCGGCUAACUACGUG